rnacentral:rRNA from 1 species
GACAGGGUUACUCUGAGUGAUUUCCGUUAAGGAGAUCUUUUGGCACCUCUAAAAAUGGUGCAGAAUAAGGGGUGGGCAAGUCUGGUGUCAGCCGCCGCGGUAAUACCAGCACCCCGAGUGGUCGGGACGUUUAUUGGGCCUAAAGCAUCCGUAGCCGGUUCUACAAGUCUUCCGUUAAAUCCACCUGCUUAACAGAUGGGCUGCGGAAGAUACUAUAGAGCUAGGAGGCGGGAGAGGCAAGCGGUACUCGAUGGGUAGGGGUAAAAUCCGUUGAUCCAUUGAAGACCACCAGUGGCGAAGGCGGCUUGCCAGAACGCGCUCGACGGUGAGGGAUGAAAGCUGGGGGAGCAAACCGGAUUAGAUACCCGGGUAGUCCCAGCUGUAAACGAUGCAGACUCGGUGAUGAGUUGGCUUAUUGCUAACUCAGUGCCGCAGGGAAGCCGUUAAGUUUGCCGCCUGGGGAGUACGGUCGCAAGACUGAAACUUAAAGGAAUUGGCGGGGGAGCACCACAAGGGGUGAAGCCUGCGGUUCAAUUGGAGUCAACGCCGGAAAUCUUACCGGGGGCGACAGCAGAGUGAAGGUCAAGCUGAAGACUUUACCAGACAAGCUGAGAGGAGGUGCAUGGCCGUCGCCAGCUCGUGCCGUGAGGUGUCCUGUUAAGUCAGGUAACGAGCGAGAUCCCUGCCUCUAGUUGCUACCAUUAUUCUCAGGAGUAGUGGAGCUAAUUAGAGGGACCGCCGUCGCUGAGACGGAGGAAGGUGGGGGCUACGGCAGGUCAGUAUGCCCCGAAACCCUCGGGCCACACGCGGGCUGCAAUGGUAAGGACAAUGAGUUUCGAUUCCGAAAGGAGGAGGCAAUCUCUAAACCUUACCACAGUUAUGAUUGAGGGCUGAAACUCGCCCUCAUGAAUAUG